rnacentral:rRNA from 1 species
CAGCAGCCGCGGGAACACGAAGGGUGCAAGCGUUAAUCGGAAUUACUGGGCGUAAAGCGUGCGUAGGCGGUGAGUUAAGUCUGCUGUGAAAUCCCCGGGCUCAACCUGGGAAUGGCAGUGGAUACUGGCUCGCUAGAGUGUGUCAGAGGAUGGUGGAAUUCCCGGUGUAGCGGUGAAAUGCGUAGAGAUCGGGAGGAACAUCAGUGGCGAAGGCGGCCAUCUGGGACAACACUGACGCUGAGGCACGAAAGCGUGGGGAGCAAACAGGAUUAGAUACCCGCGUAGUCCCUGUCUCUUAUAC